CCUGGCUCAGCAUGAACGCUGGCGGCGUGCUUAACACAUGCAAGCUUGAGCGAGAAAGCUCCUUUGCGGAAGCUAAGUAAAGCGGCGGACGAGUUAGUAACACGUGAGAAUCUACCCUUCAGUGAAGAAUACCCUCGAGAAAUCGAGGUUAAUGCUGCAUACGUCCUUUUGGAGAGAUUCAAUUGGCGAAAGGUGGCCUCUUGCUGCCGCUGAGGGAUGAGCUUGCGGACUAUUAGCUAGUUGGUGGGGUAAAGGCCUACCAAGGCUUUGAUGGUUAGCCGGCCUGAGAGGGUGUUCGGCAACGCUGGAACUUAGACACGGUCCAGACUCCUACGGGGGGCAGCAGUGAGGAAUAUUGCGCAAUGGGCGAAAGCUGACGCAGCGACGCCGCGUGGAGGAUGAAGGUCUUCGGAUUGUAAACUCCUGUUAAGUGGGAAGAAAGACUCUUUCUUAAUAGGAAAGAGGGAUGACGGUACCACCAGAGGAAGCUCCGGCUAACUCCGUGCCAGCAGCCGCGGUAAUACGGAGGGAGCAAGCGUUGUUCGGAAUUACUGGGCGUAAAGGGCGCGUAGGCGGCCUAGUAAGUCGGGUGUGAAAUGCCGGGGCUCAACCCCGCGCACUGCAUUCGAUACUGCCUGGCUGGAGAGAGGUAGAGGCGAGCGGAAUUCCCGGUGUAGCGGUGGAAUGCGUAGAUAUCGGGAAGAACACCUGUGGCGAAGGCGGAUCGCUGGGCCUUAUCUGACGCUGAAGCGCGAAAGCGUGGGGAGCAAACAGGAUUAGAUACCCUGGUAGUCCACGCCGUAAACGUUGGGUACUAGGUGUUGGGAGGAUUGACCCUUUCAGUGCCGACGCUAACGCAUUAAGUACCCCGCCUGGGGAGUACGGCCGCAAGGCUGAAACUCAAAGGAAUUGACGGGGGCCGCACAAGCGGUGGAGUAUGUGGUUUAAUUCGACGCAACGCGCAAAACCUUACCUGGGCUUGACAUACCGAUCGCACCUUUUGGAAACAUUAGGGUCAGCUCGGCUGGAUCGGAUACAGGUGCUGCAUGGCUGUCGUCAGCUCGUGUCGUGAGAUGUUGGGUUAAGUCCCGCAACGAGCGCAACCCCUACUGUUAGUUGCCAUCAUUUAGUUGGGGCAACUAACGGAACUGUCGGUGUCAAACCGGAGGAAGGUGGGGAUGACGUCAAGUCCUCAUGGCCCUUAUGCCCAGGGCUACACACGUACUACAAUGGCCAGUACAAAGGGCAGCGAACUCGCAAGGGUAAGCGAAUCCCAAAAAGCUGGUCCCAGUUCGGAUUGGAGUCUGCAACUCGACUCCAUGAAGUUGGAAUCGCUAGUAAUCGCGAAUCAUCAUGUCGCGGUGAAUACGUUCUCGGGCCUUGUACACACCGCCCGUCACACCACGAAAGUCAGUUGUACUAGAUGUGCGUUGAGCUAAUUCAUUUCGAUGAAAGGCAGACGCCGACGGUGUAAUUGGUAAUUGGGGUGAAGGCGUAACAAGGUAACC
rnacentral:rRNA from 1 species